UACGAGGGGGGCGAGCGUUGUUCGGAAUUAUUGGGCGUAAAGGGUGCGUAGGCGGUUCCGCAAGUCCUGUGUGAAAUCUUCGGGCUCAACUCGAAGUCUGCACGGGAAACUGCCGGGCUUGAGUGUGGGAGAGGUGAGUGGAAUUCCGUGGUGAGCGGUGAAAUGCGUAGAGAUGUGGAGGAACACCGAUGGCGAAGGCAGCCCCCUGGGCCAAUACUGACGCUCAUGCACGAAAGCGUGGGGAGCAAACAGG
rnacentral:rRNA from 1 species